AUGGGGUCCAAAAUUUGGACGGCGUUAACUUUUGAUUGUACGGACAAAAUUUGGGAGAUUCCCACCUGCCCGAUAUAUCGGUCUAUCGCUAACUGGUACAGCAUUGUAAAAAUAGUCAUUGGCGUGCAACAUCGCCAACUUGAAGACAAAGCAGGAGUGGAUUUCCUCAUUGUUUUGCAUCCUUGUUUCCUUUUAUUGUGUUUUUGUUGCUCAAGUAUGUGCUCAAGGAAACAUGAACCUCACCUAAGCUUUAGUCAGAAUGCUGUUUAAUAGACUAUGGUGUAUAAUAAUAAUAAUAAUAACAUUAAAAAAAGAAAGAAAAAAACGUGUAAAUUGUCUUUCUGUCCAAUUAAUAUGAUGACAUUUUGAUGAAAUAGGAUGGUGACCAGUACAUGAGUACAUUGUUACCAGCACUGAGUUAGUUUUUUUUUUUUUUUUUAGUUUAGUUUUUUUUUUUUUUUUUUAUUGGUAGUAAUUAAUAGUCAUUGUUAAUGUUACCUGUUUUAAUGGCCAAUUUUGUGUUUUGAUAUCUUUGCGACUGUUUAUCAAUGAUGAUUUUAUGAUUUCAUAAUCCUGACCAUUUGGAUACUCUUCAGAACAUUAAGGUGCUCUCCUACACUUUAAACAAUGAAAUGCAGCUAUGAAAUUCAUGCACCUCUUGCAUUUGCGCGGGGUAAACAUUUAUUAAACGUCAAUGCAAGCAUUGCUUGUUUUACUUCAUUGUGACGUCUCAUUUGAACUCUGUCCAUCGACGCUGUUUCCUGUUGGAGUGGAAGUUAAACUCUUGUUAAAAUUGAUGUUAAGUUAUUUAAAAGGUAAACGGAUCGUAAUUUUUGAUGUUGCGUUUUCUCAGGUACAUGUAUGAGGUUGUGCAUUGCAAAAGGCGACUUUCGCAUGUUAUAAAUAGAUUAAAGAAUAUGUUCUGAAUAUGUAAAUUUAGAUAUGUCUAAGUAUGUAAAUUCAUAUAGGCUUUGUCUAGUGUCUCAGGAACAUCAGUUCUGGCUUUAAUAGUUUUACAUAUUGAAAGAGAAUGUUGGAAAUAUUGGCUGUCUUCCUAGAUGACAGAUAAAAAUGAGGAUGAGAUUGCUUUACUGUGCAUUAUUUACCUGUGAUAGAAAUUUCCACUGAAUGGCAUAUACUAUUUUGAAGUCACCAACUUAAAGUUUCUGUUGUAAUUUGUCCCUUUGAAGUUUAAUUUGUAAUCCAUGCAUUACUAUUUUCAGUUAAUCACAUUCUUAUGCUUUUUCAUGGUUCAGCAGGAAUAUCACAGGAUAAUUGUGCAACAACAGCAAACUCCUAAGAGUUGUCAGAUUUGUGUCACUGUUUGGUGCUUUUAACUUAUAAAGACAGCCUAAUUCAGUUAAGUUUUAAAUCUCAGCUUUUUGUUAAUAAAGUGUUUCUAAAAGAAAGCUUGUUUUGAUCCGUUUAUUUAUUUAAAAAAAAUUUUAUUGCCUUACUAGCAUAAUGUACAAAGAUUAAUGUCCAGCUGGGAAAGGUAAUAGCUCACAUUUAGCAAUAAAACAAUUGCAAACCAAUUUAAAAAUAAUCAGAGGCAAUACACUUUUAUUAACAUCCUGGGUUCUUUAGCCGCAUUUUCUGCUGAUAAAUGACGAUAACACUUGCUGAACAUAAUUUAAAAAUAAUGUUAUUGAUAUACAAUGAAGAUCAUUUCCUUCAAAAACAGACGUAUCUGUUUUACAUAUAAGAGAACACUUGCAGUUUGAUGUACCAAUAUAUACUAACCUUAAUUAAGAACUUUUAAAAUAUUAAAGUGUUUACAUUUUGUAAAAUUGCAUCAAAUUAUACUACUAAAGUAAGCUUGUAAACAUACAAGAAAUAGCGCUUUUCCUUUCAUAAGGAAUUCCAGAUAUGGUAAACAAUCUAGCCUUUUGUUCUCCCUGAUUUGUUCCUGUUCUCAGCCAUUCUUUUGGCUAAAAGAUACCUGCUUUAUCUUUUGGGAUUGGUCAAACAUCUAGCACACCACUGCUAGAAGGACCUUGAAAGUCUGGAAAACAUGUGCAGCUGUGUUUCUUCCAGAGAUCAGGGCUAGUAAUGAGAGGAGUCAGCAAUUCACCCAUAUCAACCUUUAGCACUUUUAAUUUAAGGGCCUUUUGCCUUUGUCAUAUUCAAACCUAGGUCCCACAUGCAUGUGUGUGUGUAUAUAUAUAUAUAUAUAUAUAUAUAUAUAUAUAUAUAUAUAUAUAUAUCUUUUUUUUUUUUUUUAAUUAUUGUAGUACUGUCAUGAAUAAGCUAUUUCACACGCAUUAAGAGCUGGGGGUGAAAACUUUUGAACAGGAUGAUGAUGUGUACAUUUUUCUUAUUUUGAUUAAAGAUCAUAUUUCUUUCAUUUAGUACUGCACUUCAGAAGCUACAUAAUAAGGACAAUUUACCCUGAUCAUCCAAUUCAAAAAGUUUACACCCCUUGACUCUUAAUGUAUCGUGUUUCCUUUUUGAGCAUGAGUAAAUGUUUUCACCUGUUGUAAUAGUUUUAUAUGAGUCCCUCAGUUGUCCUCAGAGUGAAAAGAGGAUCUUAAAAUCAUACAGUCACUGUUGGAAAGGGUUCAGAUAUGCAGAAGAUGCUGGAAAACUAAAGAAUGUGUGUUUUUUUUAUAGAAGAAGAAGAAGAACAGGCACAACUGCUCAGGACCAACAAGGGACUCCUGAACAACUAACACAAAACAUGAAAACAGUUCUGGAUCAUUAAGAAAAUUACACACAGUAUAAAUAUUCAAGGGUAUGUAAACUUUUGAACGUGGUCAUUAUUACAAAUUCAGUUAUUUUGUCUUGUGGAGCAUAUAUAAACAUCCGUUUUGUGAAAUAGCUUAUUCAAGACAGUACUAAAUAAAAAUAACAUGCUAUUUUCAUGAUCCCUCUUAUGUUGUUAAAAUUAUUAACAUUUUGCAUAUUCUGCUAGGGGUAUGUAAACUUAUGUGCACAAAUGU
rnacentral:lncRNA from 1 species